AUCUUGUAUAUCUUCCAUUAUAAAUCCUUUUCUUGUGAUUUUCUCUUAUCUUUUCUAUUAUUCUAAUUUUCAACACCAGUAAUUCUUCUGCCAGCCCUUUGAUCAGUCUGCAAACUGGAUAGAUUCUUUGUUAGAAAUAGGAGUGGGACUGGUUGGAGGUGGGAUUUGUCAUCCCUGUCCCUGCCUCAAUCCCAAAAAGGUGAAACCAAACCCUUCCCUGCAGGGGCACAGAAAUGUUUGACCCCACGCCAUCCUGCACCUCUCUUAGUGAUGCUGUCUCCUUCCUCUUUUAUUUUUUAUAUUUUUUCUUUCCUUCUUUUACUUAAUUAACUUGAUACAAAUUAUACACACAUACAAACAUGGGUUUAUUGUAAUUACAUUAUAAAAUUAAGGAUAUUACUUCAAAAUCAGCUUGGUAAUGGGUGGGAUAGCAUCUAUUGACCCUGCUUUUACCCAAAUUCACAUCCUUUUGGGUUUUCAUUGAGCCUGCUCCAAACCCCAGUUUAAGUUUGAAAAACCUAUCUGAAAUGGAUCUGUAAUUUCCAUCUUUAUCUUUUGUUUUUUCAGUAGCUGCAUUUUGAGCAACUUCAAAAUUUAGCAUCUUUAUAUUCAUUUUUAAUUUACUGUUUGUAUUUGUGCAUAGGUGGGA
rnacentral:misc_RNA from 1 species